CCUACGGGAGGCAGCAGUGGGGGAUAUUGGGCAAUGGGCGCAAGCCUGACCCAGCAACGCCGCGUGAAGGAAGAAGGCUUUCGGGUUGUACACUUCUUUUAAGGGGGAAGAGCAGAAGCGUGUACCCCUUGAAUAAGCCACGGCUAACUACGUGCCAGCAGCCGCGGUAAUACGUAGGUGGCAAGCGUUGUCCGGAUUUACUGGGUGUAAAGGGCGUGCAGCCGGAGAGACAAGUCAGAUGUGAAAUCCACGGGCUCAACCCGGGAACUGCAUUUGAAACUGUUGCCCUUGAGUGUCGGAGAGGUAAUCGGAAUUCCUUGUGUAGCGGUGAAAUGCGUAGAUAUAAGGAAGAACACCAGUGGCGAAGGCGGAUUACUGGACGAUAACUGACGGUGAGGCGCGAAAGCGUGGGGAGCAAACAGUAUUAGAUACCCGGGUAGUC
rnacentral:rRNA from 1 species